rnacentral:rRNA from 1 species
CAGCCGCCGCGGUAAUACAGAGGGUGCAAGCGUUAAUCGGAAUUACUGGGCGUAAAGCGCGCGUAGGUGGUUCGUUAAGUUGGAUGUGAAAUCCCCGGGCUCAACCUGGGAACUGCAUUCAAAACUGACGAGCUAGAGUAUGGUAGAGGGUGGUGGAAUUUCCUGUGUAGCGGUGAAAUGCGUAGAUAUAGGAAGGAACACCAGUGGCGAAGGCGGCUCACUGGACCGACACUGACGCUGAGGCGCGAAAGCGUGGGGAGCAAACAGGAUUAGAUACCCCCGUAGUCCCUGUCUCUUAUAA